UUUCCGUAGGCGAACCUGCGGAAGGAUCAUUAUUGAAUAAACCUGAUGUGGUUGUAGCUGGCCCUUUCGGGAGCAUGUGCACACCCGUCGUCUUUAUCUUUCCACCUGUGCACCUUUUGUAGACCUGGAUGUAACACUUUCCGAGGCAACUCGGUCGGGAGGAAUGCUGUCAGCUUUCCUUGAAUGUCCAGGCCUAUGUUUUCAUAUACCCCAAAGAAUGUAACAGAAUGUAUUAUUGGGCCUUGUGCCUAUAAACUAUAUACAACUUUCAGCAACGGAUCUCUUGGCUCUC
rnacentral:misc_RNA from 1 species